rnacentral:lncRNA from 1 species
UUUUAAAUAUAUUUAUGAUUAGCAAAAUAAAAUUGUUAGCAAAAACCUCAAUUAUUAAAAUGUAUUUUGCAAUGGCAUAAGAGCACCGAAAUGUAUUAUGCUAAUCAUAUUCAAUUUUGUUUACUGAAAAUUCAGAAAUUAUUGCAAGGUUUUUAUUGAUGCAAAUAAUGUGACUAUAAGUAAUUCACAUUGUUGUCCAUUCUUGAAUAAUCCCAUUAAUAAAUGUUUGCAAUAAUUUCUAAAUUUA